rnacentral:rRNA from 4 species
GGAUAUCUAGGCUCUUGCAUCGAUGAAGAACGUAGCGAAAUGCGAUACUUGGUGUGAAUUGCAGAAUCCCGUGAACCAUCGAGUCUUUGAACGCAAGUUGCGCCCGAUGCCAUUAGGUUGAGGGCACGUCUGCCU